AUAGUGAUCCGGUGGUUCUGAAUGGAAGGGCCAUCGCUCAACGGAUAAAAGGUACUCCGGGGAUAACAGGCUGAUACCGCCCAAGAGUUCAUAUCGACGGCGGUGUUUGGCACCUCGAUGUCGGCUCAUCACAUCCUGGGGCUGAAGUCGGUCCCAAGGGUAUGGCUGUUCGCCAUUUAAAGUGGUACGCGAGCUGGGUUCAGAACGUCGUGAGACAGUUCGGUCCCUAUCUGCCGUGGGCGUUGGAUGAUUGAAGGGAGUUGCUCCUAGUACGAGAGGACCGGAGUGAACGAACCUCUGGUGUUCGGGUUGUCACGCCAGUGGCACUGCCCGGUAGCUAAGUUCGGAAUCGAUAACCGCUGAAAGCAUCUAAGCGGGAAGCGAGCCCUGAGAUGAGUCAUCCCUGACCCCUUGAGGGUCCUAAAGGGCCGUUGGAGACCACAACGUUGAUAGGUGGGGUGUGUAAGUGCAGCGAUGCAUUGAGCUAACCCAUACUAAUUACCCGUGAGGCUUAACCAUACAACACCCAAGAAGUGUUCUG
rnacentral:rRNA from 1 species